CUUGGAGCUUAAGUGUGAUAGCCUCAUAAGAAUCACAGCAAUCUAGUGAGCUAAAAAAAUAACAAAAAAAAAUGUUUGAGGGUUCAUUUUGAUCCUCAUUGAGGAUUAGGAAGAAGGAGUCGUGUUAUUUGAGUAACCUCCAAAUAAUAUUUCCCUGCAUCUUCAGGAGACUCAUUGAGAAUUGCAUCCUCUUCGAGUAAUCUCCCGGACGCAUCUCCUGGACAUUCUGGGGUUUGUAGGGAUGCAUCCCCAGGUACUAGUGGAGGAUGCGCUGAAGAGACCUUCGACUCACCCCUAGUUCCACCGAUCUUCUCCUUGUGGAUGGGGUGCAGUCCUCGUAAAUGCUCUCUUCAUCCCUUUGGAGCUAUCCUGGAUCCUUAUUCUGGGUCCUCACUGUUGGGAUCCUUAUUCUUGGGGCAUUAACAACUGUGCCCCUCGUCAAAAGUGCCUGCCCACAUCUCCUUAUGGUGUUCCCGUGGGGUGGCCGCCUUCCGGAAAACUCGCGCUGAAAGGCCCGUGAUUUGAGCUAGAGAAAUUAAAUUAGGUAGAAUACCUAACCUCAAUUUGGUCGCAUCGCCUUCUUUUAAAUAAAAAAAAAUGCUGUUAAAAUAAUAAAAAGACCCAAAAAAUCUUCUUUCCUUGUCAAUAAACCUUUAUUUUAUUUAGUA